rnacentral:rRNA from 1 species
AUUGAACGCUGGCGGCAGGCUUAACACAUGCAAGUCGAGCGGGGUGAUGGUGCUUGCACUAUCACUUAGCGGCGGACGGGUGAGUAAUGCUUAGGAAUCUGCCUAUUAGUGGGGGACAACAUCUCGAAAGGGAUGCUAAUACCGCAUACGUCCUACGGGAGAAAGCAGGGGAUCACUUGUGACCUUGCGCUAAUAGAUGAGCCUAAGUCGGGUUAGCUAGUUGGUGGGGUAAAGGCCUACCAAGGCGACGAUCUGUAGCGGGUCUGAGAGGAUGAUCCGCCACACUGGGACGGAGACACGGCCCAGACUCCUACGGGAGGCAGCAGUGGGGAAUAUUGGACAAUGGGGGGAACCCUGAUCCAGCCAUGCCGCGUGUGUGAAGAAGGCCUUAUGGUUGUAAAGCACUUUAAGCGAGGAGGAGGCUCUUUUGGUUAAUACCCAAGAUGAGUGGACGUUACCCGCAGAAUAAGCACCGGCUAACUCUGUGCCAGCCGCCGCAGUAA